rnacentral:lncRNA from 1 species
GGAUAUCCGAAUAAUUUGUCUAUUCGGAUAAAAUAAAUGGUAACGGAUAUUAUCCGUAUUCGAAUAUUUUUCCGAAUACCGGAUACGGAUAAUAUUUUUAAAAUUCGCCGGAUACCGGAUACGGAUACGGAUAGCGAAUUAGUUUUUCGGAUACGGAUACGGAUAUACCUGUAUCCGUAUCCGUUUAAUACCGUUUACACCCCUACUUCUAAUGUUCCUAGGAGUGACCAACUAGGUGAUUAUGAGCUUUGAAAGAAAACUUUUUCCCUGUGUGAAAAUUGUGAAACUUAUGAUUAAGGCGUGGACUAGGGGAUUUAUUUCGGACAAGAGAAUCCAACUACAAAAAAAGUGGCCAAUUUUUUUGACUUUAAAUCUUCUAAAACAACAUGAUGACAAUUUGAGUUUUGCUUAAAGGGUUGGACUCCCUUUAUUGAAUUUGCACCUUGCCUUACCUUUUGAUGAAUGGAGGUGCUAGAUACACCUAUUGUGAUGCAAGAAAGUUACAAGUUCAAAUGCUAUUUCUGUUAAUAAUUUUUGUUGGUAUUUUCUCCCGUAAUAAAGGUUAGUCAACUUUUCUCCAGUAAUAAAGAUAUCCCUUCAGACUCUCAAUAAUCUAAUCUGCUGUAUCAUUAUAUGCAUAUACCCUAUGCAUGAAUUUUGGGCGAAUUUCAAAUGUCAUCAUCCGGCGUUUAUCUACUUUUUUGGAAGCUCUAAAUCAUUUGUUGUCUAAUGAACUUGUCAUUCGGAUCCGGUUAGCAUGAAGUUAAUUUUUGAGUAAGUUGGUCAAUUGGCCAAUAAAAUGAUGACACGCAUACGAGAUUAUAUGCAUGUCAGUAUUAUAUUGGUCAAUUGAUCAACUUAUCCAUAAAUAAAUUUCAUACUAACCUUUGUCAUUCUAACCUCGUAACUUUAGUUUUUUUACUUUUAAUAUUAGUUGUUCCUCAAAUGGAUAUUUUUCAGUUUUUAUUCCUCACCUUCAAACGCUAAUGAUUUUGUUCUCCACUAAGAGCCAAGAAAAGAAAUGUUAUAAUGUUGAUGGACAAAAAGCCCAUUUCAUGACUCAAAGGUCAAACAAAAGUAGUGCCCAUUUGUUUUGCUUUUGUUUCAACUGUUUAGAUGAGCCGGGUCAGGUCCUUUUGCCAUUAAGGUGGGCCAAACAUAGCCCUAUACUAUCUUAAUUCUAGAAUGUUCAAUUCUUCCAUCAUUCUCUAACGGGCCCCAUUCCCUUUUUUAUCGGCCCUAUUUUUGUUUUGAUUUUGAUAUUUCUUUUCCAUUUCAGAAUGAGUGUGUUUUGUAUUUGGAUAAAUUUGUUUUGCGAAACAUAUCAAUAUAUGAUAUAUGAUAUUGAAUAUCAAUAUGAAAGUAAUUGUUUUUCUUGUUUUUUUUUUCUUUUCAAAUAAUUGAUUCUCGUUGUUUAUUUGUAUCAAUUGUUUUUUGCAUAUUCUAUGUCUUUAUAGUUUUUAAUUGGGAUAUGGGUUGGAGUUUCAAUUCAAAUACAUGUAAAUAAAGUAAUUAAAGUGGGUAGGGGGACUUGGAAUGGGUGAAUAGAGAUAGCAAUGAUUGUCUGAAUUGGUAAGUGUUGCUAUUUACUUUUAUUAUUAUGAUAUUUGAUGAAUAAUGUUGGCUAGCCAGCUAUGUGUCAAGUUCGUUAAGUGUUAAGCUGUAUGGAUGGGUGAUCAAAAGAAAGAAAUGUUUG